GCCGCCUUAGCUCAGCCGGUAGAGCAACGCAUUCGUAAUGCGUGGGUCGGGUGUUCGAGUCACCCAGGCGGCACCA
rnacentral:tRNA from 2 species